UCUCGUUUUUCUCUUCCUUUCUCUUUCUCUCUCACCCUCUCUGUGCAACUCUCUUGGUCAUUCUCCUCUCUCUGUGCAACUCUUUCCUAUCCAGUAUUUUGCUCUGCAAAUUCCAUCCACCUUUGCCUCUGAAUUCUCAACUCCGUCUCCUCAGCGCAGGAAGACCUUCAGACUCCCAGCACGGUGGCCAGGAAACACUCUGCAAGCAGAUCCUAUCCAGGAUAUCACAU
rnacentral:lncRNA from 1 species